ACGGGAGGCAGCAGUGAGGAAUAUUGGUCAAUGGGCGAGAGCCUGAACCAGCCAAGUAGCGUGCACGAAGACUGCCCUCUGGGUUGUAAAGUGCUUUAGUAUGGGAAUAAAGUGAGGGACGUGUCCCUUUUUGUAUGUACCAUAAGAAUAAGGACCGGCUAAUUCCGUGCCAGCAGCCGCGGUAAUACGGAAGGUCCAGGCGUUAUCCGGAUUUAUUGGGUUUAAAGGGAGCGUAGGCGGGUUAUCAAGUCAGUGGUAAAAUCGUGUGGCCCAACCAUACCUCGCCAUUGAAACUGUUAGUCUUGAGUGCACGCAGGGAUGCUGGAAUUCGUUGUGUAGCGGUGAAAUGCUUAGAUAUGACGAAGAACUCCGAUUGGGAAGCCAGCUUGCUGUAGCGCCACUGACGCUGAUGCUCGAAAGCGUGGGUAUCGAACAGGAUUAGAUACCCUGGUA
rnacentral:rRNA from 1 species